AGGAAAAAAAAAAAAAAAAAGAAUAGCCAAAAAACUGUAGACUGUAGAUUUGGAGCCUGACUCUGAGGAUGCUGGUUCAAAACCCGCAGCGGUGUCAACCAUUUUUCAGACAGAUAAGACAGAUAUACAUGUCUUAAUAGGAAUUACACUUCCUGAAUAUAGCACAGAUUCUAGUGCAUAAAAAUUGAAAAAUGAGUGGUCUAGACAGUCGACAUGUAUUGCUAGCGAUUUGGCGAUCCUGACUCUGAGGAUGCUGGUUCAAAACCCGCAGUGGUGUCAACCAUUUUUCAGCACAUUUCAGCAAGAAGUGUAAUCCAUAUGAACGAUAAUACUGUUAUGAAGAAAACAUGUCUGACCUUCAUGUAUUUUUACACGGCUUACAAAGUGAAGCCAGUGUUUUUGUCAGCAUUAUUGCUGACUACAAAGGACAGAUAUGAAGCCCUCAAUGGGGUCCUCUUUGUUUUGAUCAGUCCUGUAAUACAACAUGACAUAUUGUAUCCGAGAUCAGUCCAAACUGUAGUACAGGAAAGAGAUCCAAGCUUUGUUAGGGGAAAUUGCUGCAAGCUCUCAUAGAGGAAAUCUGCCUGUUACCCUAAUUUUUAUGUCUAUGUUUAUUUUCAUUUACCAAGUUCUCAUUAAAAGGAAAAGAUCUCUAAAUUUCCAUCACAUGAAGAUCUUUGAGUCUUUUUUAUACAAAGUUGUGAUUAAAUUGUUGUUUAGACAAUAUACAGCUCUGCACUUUUUUUUUUCUUUUUUUAGUCCAAAAAAAAAGCGGUUUUAAGGUUAUUAUAGAGUUAACUCAUUUCAUUGCUACGUUGAUGGAAACAAGUUUACAUUAGGUUUAAAAAGCUGAAAACAGAUAAAUAGUUAAGAUACAAGUUUAAAAACUGCAUUGGAAGUGUAAUUCAAUUUGCUGUGUAUACAGGAACAACUUUUUAGAGUAAACUCUGAGAGCUUGGACAGUUGACUGCAGACACAAAGAGGACAGAAGUAUGUGGGAGCUUCAUAUGCUGUAUUUUUUCACAGCAAACUUUUUCUGGCAGUUUGCCUAUGACAAAGCUUCCAUGUUUUCACACAGAUAUGGCUUCACUUCACCGAACUCUUCUAUAAAGCUGUGUGGAAACCAAGAGACUUGAUUGGCAAACAGCAGAAAAUGUUUGACCAAUGGAUUUGCUGGUUUGUGCUUUGUCCUUUGACCUUCACUGCCGUGGGAGUGGAAUAAAUGUUGUGUGGACUUAAUCACGUGGCCUUAAUAGUUCUCAGCUUGUGGAUGCAUGGUUAUAGGUUUCCCCCAGUUUUCCUCCCACUAUAAUGCUGCCCGGUUUCCUCCCACCAUAAUGCUGCCUGGUUUCCUUCCACCAUAAUGAUGGCCGCCAUCAUACAAGUGAAAUAUUCUUGAGUACUAUGUAAUUAAAACAUCAAUCAAAUAAAUUAGUAAAUUAAUAGUUCUCUGUUUUUCUGACAAUUUGACUUCUAGCUGUGUAUCCCUCUGUCCAUUUAUAGCAUCCUUGUGAUGUAAACACAACCUUUUUUCCACUGAUUUUCGCACUUUUCGGAAGGCAUGGGCAUGGUGCAGAUCCUUGCAAAUUCCAUUUGUAUAUAGGUGUACAUACACAUGUAGCUAUACCUGGCUCAGUGGCUUUUUUCACCUUUUAAUCUUUUACUAUUUCUUUGGUUUUAUUAAACAUGCUGUGAGAGUUUUAUUUCCACGUUAAAUACAAAUUUACUCGAAUAUCUAGUAGUAGUCUACACUGUGCUCUAGUUUGUGCAGAUUGUUAAAAAAACGUUUUAUUAGCAUUUUAUUCAAUGUAAAAAUAGAAAAUGUAUAAAUUGGAAGCAAAUAGCACCGAAUAGUGUUUUAGAUGAUAUGGACUUCAUUCAUUAGUGGUUUUGUUCUUUUAAAUAUCUGAUAUUAGAAGGUUGUGACAGCAAACAAUGUAUAUUUUCUUAGAUUUUUGAAAGGGCUAUCUGUGAAAGGCAACCCAAAAUUUCAGGGUUCGACAUUAUUUACUAAAAAACUAAGUUACUGAUACUCCGUUGGAGGCUACCAGGAAGUUGCCAUGCAUUGUGUGGCGCAUAUUUCCUAUUUCCUUUGCCUGACUGAAGAACUGACUCUAAGCGCCAGGCCCCGGGUUCACAAAGCAAUCUUUAGACAUAAGUCAAGAGUUUAAUCUUUAAAAUUUGUCUCUUCCUUUCCAUUAUUUUAGCUGGAGUUUGUUUUACGGUACUUACCCAGAAUUUAAGUUUUAAAGUGAGUUGAAAUUUUGACCUAAGCCUAAGAUUGCUGCGUGAUCCCGGGGCCAGUUCAGAAUAGCAGCAACAUCCCCUCAAUACAAAGUUGAUGUCAUCAUACACUGAGGACUCUCAUUGUGUGAACCAUGCAGGCACAGGCUGAAAGAUUGUAUGCCAAAAUUUGACUGAGCAGCCCAUUUUGAAAGGUAGGAUGUCAAAAAUUUGACCCAUUGACCCAUUUUAAAGUGUAAGAUGUAAAAAAACAAUUGACCCAUUGACCUAUUAUAAAGGGUAGAUUGUCAAACAUUUGACCAAUAAAAGAUAGUAUGUCAAAAAGUUGACCGAUCAACUGAAAGACUGGUAGUCUGUGCUGCUAGCUACUGUGAAUUUGUGUUUUUAACUGUUU